rnacentral:rRNA from 1 species
UGGGGAAUAUUGGACAAUGGGGGCAACCCUGGUCCAGCGACGCCGCGUGGGUGGUGAAGGCCUUCGGGUUGUAAAGCCCUUUCACCGGGGACGAUGAUGACGGUACCCGGAGAAGAAGCACCGGCUAACUCCGUGCCAGCAGCCGCGGUAAGACGGAGGGUGCUUGCGUUGUUCGGAAUCACUGGGCGUAAAGGGCGCGUAGGCGGCGCCGCAAGUCGGCUCGUGAAAGCCCGGGGCUCAACCCCGGAGGUGCGGCCGGGACUGCGGUGCUGGAGGCCGGAAGAGGAGGGUGGAAUACCCAGUGUAGAGGUGAAAUUCGUAGAUAUUGGGUGGAACACCGGUGGCGAAAGCGGCUCUCUGGUCCGGACCUGACGCUGAGGCGCGAAAGCGUGGGGAGCAA